ensembl:lncRNA
GUACGGGAACUCGCCGCGCUCCGCGCCCCCCAGCACGCUCAGCCCCAGCUCGCCCUGCGGUCCGCGCCUCACGGUGCACUCGCGCACCCGGCCAGUCCAGUGGCUCCUCUUCGGAGCCACUUUCGACAUGACGGCUUGCACUCAGCCACGAACAGACACGCAAAGUGAAGGCGAGCAGAGCUACCGAGGCAGGUGCCGCCGGCCGGCCGCUCACGGGAGCGGCAUGGUUCGGCGCCCGGCGGCAGCCCGCUCCGCACGCUCAGGCCAUCGCGGGACGAACUUUCCGGGCGUCCCCGCGAGCUUUGUUUGCAUUCCGGAGCCUCCGUCCGCGUCCCGGCGUCGGCCCGCCCGCCGGGCCAGAGUCCGCUCGCGCGCUCGGCUCGGUUUUCCCCUCUCCUUUCGUUCUCGACUCCAGCCGGCUUGCGGCUCGCGGCUCGCGGCUCGCGGCGGGCGGCUCCUGAGAGAAGCGGAGUCCGCGCGCUCAGCCGGAGCCCGGGGCCGGCGCGGGCGGGGGCGGAGCCGAGGCCGGCGCGCGGCCCCUUUAAGCCGAGGGAAAGGCUGGGCUUGUUUUGUUCCGCUUCAUUCUGCUCCGCGCCGAGAGCCCGCCGGACCCGGAGGCGGUGCGCAUGCGUCCACGGCCCUCCGCGCCCCGCCCCCCGGAGGGAGUCUUCCGCCGCGAGUCCCCGCGGGUCCUGAGGCCGACCUCGACCUCGGGGGAGCCUCGAGGAUCCCCGCUCCGCCUUGGUUUCUCUCCGUCCGCUGCGGUCCGCACAGGCUUCGCGGGAGGACGAGGCGCACACGCGUUUGGCGGCUUUUCAGACUCGGGCAGUCUGGCUUCCGCGUUGACAAUCCCCUUCAAACAGGGCGGGACGGGGCGUCCCUCGCUGCGCACUUGCUCACCUUCCGCAGCCCGCAGCCCGCAGGGCGCCCGAGCCCGCCUGGAGGCCCAGCGCCGGCCUCAGGUUCUGCGGGGGCCCGCAGCGCACCGCGCGCGCCCCAGCUUGGGGCGGCUGCCUCCCGGAGAGCCGCCGAAUUUGCCGUCGUCUGUCGGCAAAGACUGGAAGAAAGAUGGCAGAAAGGAGAGGGAAAGUCAUAACUGAAAACUGUGCUUUCGGGAGCGCAACUUCCGGGGCCCAGUGGAAGUUUCCCCCUGUGCUGCGUAUUGGCUUUUCCUUGGUUAUAUUGGGGCUUCCCUCCUUCCAGACACAUCACACCUAGCUUUCCUGAAGAAUACUGUAAGUCCAUAAACCGACUUAAUUGAGAAAGUAAAGAGCAAAACCUAAUCCUAAAAUAAAGGGACAGCUUGAGAAAAUCCAAAGAAUGUUUAAGUUACCCAUUUUUAAAACAAAACCGGUAAUACCAGUACCUAGCCCAUACCAGUAAAAUGGGCUAGGACCCCUCUGGGGGUGGCCACCUUUCCCCGGGUUUUCAGCCCCUCAAGAGAAGCAUAAAUAUUCCCAGUUCCAGGAAACGUUUCGUCUCGUUUCUCUGAAUGCCUGCACUUCACCCUUGAUACUUUAAAAGUUCUGCAUGAAGUUCCCUUCACGCCUCUUACUGACCCACCCUGUAAAUUCUUUUUCUGCAAAAGCAGUCCUUGAACCUGCAAUCUUGUUCUAUAGGUAGGGUGGGUUAGGUGUAUCAUCUCCGCUUUAGCACCCUCCUCGACCCUGUCCAGGGACUGAUGGCCAGGCCUCUGCCUGAGUAGGGUGGGGUUGGCCACCUUCGGACUGCCCGGGGCUAAGGUUCUUGGCUGGUGCUGCAGGCGCCCCCAGGCACAGGGCUGAGCAGCCCCCUCUCAGAAUUUGUUCCAAGGACGUGACAAGAGCAGCGUGCUGGGGAGUAGUGGACAGGGAGAUGCUUUCUAGGUCACCUCCAGCACUUUCUUCUCUUCGCUACGGAUGUCUAAUUCCGAGCAUGGAAGGAAUUCCAAGAUACUAGGGAAGUGAGUUGAGUGACUUAGAGAGAAUGGGAUACCACAGCAGUGCCUGUUGAGGGGGGGAUCCAGGGUUUAGGCUCCCUCAGCCACCUUUGUGUGGCCUUGAACAGGCUUCCUGACUUCCCAGAGCCGUCCUUUCCUGAAAUUUAGGAUGUGACAGUGUCUCACAGAGUACUUGAAGAGGCUUACAAAGUGGCACAUGAAAAUCUGAUGAUAGUAGUAUUGGGGAAGAAAACUAGGAAACCGUUUGGUGUUUCACCUUAGAUGAUGAUAAUUCAUUCUCUGCCUUCCAGAACUUAAAAAAUACAAGUAUACAUUUAAGUAUGUUUUUAAAGUACUGUUUGUAGAGUGCUAUUCUGAGCUAAUAAAAAUACGGGGAUAAUGUUGAUGUGUCCUAGGAUAUCCAAAAAUUUCAUUGCCUUGUCCUAUCCUCCACGGCUGUCUGUGGUUAGAGGAACUUCAUCUCCAGCCACUUUUUCCUGAGGUGAUCUCAUUAUCUCAACCCUGAUUGGAUUAAGUGACCUGGCACUUCAGGCAUAAACUCCCACACCCUAACACAGAUCCAGCAGUCAGAAUCUUGAAGACAGAAUCCAUCAUCUGGUCUUUAGGGUCCCCUUAAGUGGUGCAGCUGUACAACAUUCAGAACCACAGCUUUAGUGUCUUUGAUUCCGAAGCAGGGUUUGGGGGAGAAUAAACCUGCAAUUUGCAUCCCUCUGUCCAGUAUGUACUCCAAGAGGGCCUGCAACUUGGGCAGUUUGGUUUACCGACAUACUCCUAGUUCCUAGGAUGUUGCCUGGUACUUCAUCAAUGCUGAAGUAUUUGUCAAAUGACUCAUUUCACAAAAACGUACAAUUUGGCAUUCCAUGUUAGAGCGAAUUCUCAGAUUCUCAUGUUAAUCCCUAGUAACCUUGACCUUGUGUGUUUCACCUCUUUACUAUGCUUUAUUCUAGUUACAUAUGGUCAUUUGCCAAGAACUCCUGUACCUACCUAGCAUAAAGGAUCUUCCAUCUUUCUGCCUCUCCCCCCAACCAGGAGCAACCUAAGGGGGCAAGAGUCUGGCUGGUGAAACAGAUGGAAAUCCAGCAUCUUCCUUCCUACUAGAUGUCUGAUUCCAAAGGGACUACAUGUCAAGAGGGAAACACAGUUACAGAUGAAAGCUGUGACCCAGAAGAACUCCUCCCAUGGAAGAGCAGCACAUGUACCUUCAUGACACUGGGAUGAGACUGUGCUCAUCUUGACUUGGUGACAGUACACUUCUGGAUGGUGCUCAUUUACCCUCUUAAUAAUUUGCAUGAGAAACUAACAUGGUCAGAUUAGGGCUCUUAUUUUGAGCCCCAUGUGAGUGUUAAUCUAAGACACCUGUUGUCCAUCCAGUACCCUGACUACCAAAGCUUCUUCACUGGGAGAAAAAAAAUGUAUCAACUUUUUUUUUUUAAGUGUGGAGAUUUAGCCAUACCUUCAGUUUUUGUAAGCCCCAAAAUCAAAAUUUUGGAGACAGUUCUGUAUAUUUGCCUUUGUGGGUUUUUUGUUUUGUUUUUGGAAUGGAAUCUGGCUAUGUUACCCAGACUGGUCCCCAACUCCUAAGCUCAUGAUCCUCCUGUCUCAGAUUGCUGAGUAGCUGGGUUACAGACUGCACCACUGUGCCCAGCUCUGUACUUGCCUUUUGGGACUCAAGUAGUAGAUUUGAUGUUGUGACCUCAGCCUCCACUUCCCUAUUUCCUCCAUCCCAACAGUUCUUGUAUUCCAUUAGAUGAGACCUAUGUUCUGGGGAAAUAGAUUCUCCACUGGACAGAAGCAGGAGCAGGAAAUCUAGGUGAAACAAAUAUACCCAUCACCUGGCCACAAUCCCUGAUUCAAGCGUUGAGCAUGUGACCUGUGGGUUCGCAGGAAAAACUGUUAUGUGCAGACUACUGUAACAGAGUCACCCUUCAUUCUGAUUUUGGACAGUGUGGUGAUGGUGCAGAUAUAAGGUCUAGAGCAGGGGUGGCCAUCAGUGUCACCAACAGACUGGGCUUGGCCUGGGGCCAUCACUAAUUCAAGAGGCCAUACAUGAGCAGACUGAAGGGAGACAGUGGUGGGCCCGGAAUCACGUCACACCCAAAGCAUACCUACUUCUAGACUCUUUCACUAUUUCCAUGCUUUCCAUUUACUGCUUGGAGGGAGACGCUUGUAACUGGUGGCCAUAUUGUCCUAGGUGGCAAAAAUAAAAGAAGUUCAGAAACAAUUUUGUGUGCUCUAAAAAUAAAGUAGCAUGGGGCCAGGAUUUAACUCAGUGGUUCCACCGCCACCUGGCAAGCCCAAGGCCCUGAAUUCAAUCCCCGAUAGCUCACCCAAAAAUAAAUAAAUAAAAAAUAAAGUAGCAUAUAAAGGAAAUCAGAAUGAGAAUGUAAUUUCUCUGAAAUCCCUCUUAAUUUUUUAAUUGAAAGCUCCCAUGAGUUAAAGCUGUAAAUAUAUUAGUGAAAUGUUGACUAAAUAAAAAUGCAUGUUUUAUUUGUUUUUAAUGGCCAAUAUCUGGGGAUGCAACUCAGUGGUAGAAUCCAUGUUUACCAUACAUGAUGUCUGGGGUUUGAGCCCUCCUGCAAACAACAAUAACAACAGCAUCAAACAAACAAAAAACAAGCAAACAGUACUAAGGAGUACAGGAAGAGGAUGCCAUCUGUCCUCCCAGGCCUAUCACCAAAGGAGACAGAGCCAGUGAGGACCCCCAGGAUUGCCCACCAGCCUCCAGCGUGGCUGCAUAGGCACCUGAAACAACAGCCCCCCCACCCUCUUGGCUGUACAGCUACUUGGAUCCACACUACAGAGGCACAAGGGGACAUAAAGGCCAUUGUUCUGAGCUACAGAAGUGAACAACAGAGAGAGGGCCUCUCUCAGGCUCCUUGAUGAAAACUGAAG